rnacentral:rRNA from 1 species
UACGGGGGGGGCAAGCGUUGUUCGGAAUUACUGGGCGUAAAGGGUUCGUAGGUGGCUUGUUAAGUCAGACGUGAAAUCCCUCGGCUCAACCGGGGAACUGCGUCUGAGACUGAUGAGCUCGAGUGCAGGAGAGGAACGCGGAAUUCCAGGUGUAGCGGUGAAAUGCGCAGAUAUCAGGAGGAACACCGGUGGCGAAGGCGGAUCUCUGGGCCUUACCUGACGCUCAGGCGCGAAAGCUAGGGGAGCGAACAGG